rnacentral:tRNA from 1 species
GAGAAAGUUACAAGAACUGCUAACUCUUGAGCCCAUGCCUAAACACAUGGCUUUCU